rnacentral:rRNA from 1 species
AGGUGAACCUGCGGAAGGAUCAUUACCUAGAGUUGUAGGCUUUGCCUGCUAUCUCUUACCCAUGUCUUUUGAGUACCUUCGUUUCCUCGGCGGGUUCGCCCGCCGAUUGGACAAUUUAAACCAUUUGCAGUUGCAAUCAGCGUCUGAAAAAACAUAAUAGUUACAACUUUCAACAACGGAUCUCUUGGUUCUGGCAUCGAUGAAGAACGCAGCGAAAUGCGAUAAGUAGUGUGAAUUGCAGAAUUCAGUGAAUCAUCGAAUCUUUGAACGCACAUUGCGCCCCUUGGUAUUCCAUGGGGCAUGCCUGUUCGAGCGUCAUUUGUACCUUCAAGCUCUGCUUGGUGUUGGGUGUUUGUCUCGCCUCUGCGUGUAGACUCGCCUCAAAACAAUUGGCAGCCGGCGUAUUGAUUUCGGAGCGCAGUACAUCUCGCGCUUUGCACUCAGAACGACGACGUCCAAAAGUACAUUUUUACACUCUUGACCUC